GUGUUGUGUGAAAGGAGAGAAGGGGAGCACUCCCCUUGACAAGGAUAGAAGAGGCGCUCAGGCCUAACAACACGCAUACGAUGAAGGCAUUGCCACCUACUUCGUGGCUUCUAACCAUCGUUGUUC